AUAUGGCUCAGAGCGAACGCUGGCGGCAGGCCUAAAACAUGCAAGUCGAACGCCGUAGCAAUACGGAGUGGCAGACGGGUGAGUAACGCGUGGGAACGUACCCUUUGGUCCGGAACAACACAGGGAAACUUGUGCUAAUACCGGAUAAGCCCUUACGGGGAAAGAUUUAUCGCCAAAGGAUCGGCCCGCGUCUGAUUAGCUUGUUGGUGAGGUAACGGCUCACCAAGGCUACGAUCAGUAGCUGGUCUGAGAGGAUGAUCAGCCACACUGGGACUGAGACACGGCCCAGACUCCUACGGGAGGCAGCAGUUAGGAAUCUUGGACAAUGGGCGCAAGCCUGAUCCAAGCCAUGCCGCGUGAGUGAUGGAGGCCUUAGGGUUGUAAAGCUCUUUCAGCGGGGAAGAUAAUGACGGUACCCGCAGAAGAAGCCCCGGCUAACUUCGUGCCAGCAGCCGC
rnacentral:rRNA from 1 species